rnacentral:rRNA from 1 species
UACGUAGGCAGCAAGCGUUGUUCGGAGUUACUGGGCGUAAAGGGUGCGUAGGUGGCUCUAUAAGUAUGGUGUGAAAUCUCCCGGCUUAACUGGGAGGGUGCGCCGUAGACUGUGGGGCUAGAGUGUGGGAGAGGAAAGUGGAAUUCCUGGUGUAGCGGUGAAAUGCGCAGAUAUCAGGAGGAACACCGGUGGCGAAGGCGGGUCUCUGGGCCGUAACUGACGCUGAGGAGCGAAAGCGUGGGGAGCAAACAGG